CUCCUACGGGAGGCAGCAAUCAGGAAUAGUCGGCAAUGGACGAAAGUCUGACCGCGCGACGCCGCGUGUAGGAAGAAGUUCUCAACGAGCGUAAACUACUGUUGAGAGGGAAGAAGAUGCCCUUUGGGCAUUUGACGGUACCUCUCUAGAAAGGGGCCGCUAACUGCGUGCCAGAAGCGUCGGUAAUACGUGGGCCCCGAGCGUUAUCCGGUAUCACUGGGCAUAAAGGGUCGUGUAGGCGUUCUAUCAAGUUUCCGUUUAAAGAUCAGGGCUUAACCCUGGGAAAGACAGGAAUACUGCUAGAAUAGAAUUUCCUUUAGGGAAACUGGAACUGAGAGAGGAGUAGUGAAAUGCGUUGAUACUCUCGGGAACACCAGUGGCGAAGGCGAGUUUCUGAAAGGGGAUUGACGCUGAGACACGAAAGCUAGGGUAGCGAAGCAGAUUAGAGACCUGCGUAGUCCUAGCCCUAAACGAAUGUCUGCUAGCUGCAUGAUUUCAGAACUGAGUCGCUCAAUGGGCGAUUGAGUUCUGAUAUCGUGUGGCGAAGGAAAUCCGUAAGC
rnacentral:rRNA from 1 species